AGCGAACGCUGGCGGCAGGCUUAACACAUGCAAGUCGAGCGGGCAUCCUUGUGGUGUCAGCGGCAGACGGGUGAGUAACGCGUGGGAACGUGCCCUUCGGUUCGGAACAACUCAGGGAAACUUGAGCUAAUACCGGAUACGUGCGAGAGCAGAAAGGUUUAUCUGCCGAAGGAUCGGCCCGCGUCUGAUUAGCUAGUUGGUGAGGUUACGGCUCACCAAGGCGACGAUCAGUAGCUGGUCUGAGAGGAUGAUCAGCCACACUGGGACUGAGACACGGCCCAGACUCCUACGGGAGGCAGCAGUGGGGAAUAUUGGACAAUGGGGGCAACCCUGAUCCAGCCAUGCCGCGUGAGUGAUGACGGCCUUAGGGUUGUAAAGCUCUUUUCUCCGGGACGAUAAUGACGGUACCGGAGGAAUAAGCCCCGGCUAACUUCGUG
rnacentral:rRNA from 1 species